rnacentral:misc_RNA from 1 species
UGCGUUUUACUGUUUCAUUAACAACAACAAU